UGAGAGACAAAGGGGUGCCCCGACGGGCUGAGAUCAUACCCUCGAACCUGAUACAGUUAGCACUGUCGUAGGAAUUGGAUAUCAUCGCAUA
rnacentral:ncRNA from 2 species